UACGUAGGGUGCAAGCGUUAAUCGGAAUUACUGGGCGUAAAGCGUGCGCAGGCGGCUUUGCAAGACAGAUGUGAAAUCCCCGGGCUUAACCUGGGAACUGCAUUUGUGACUGCAUGGCUGGAGUGCGGCAGAGGGGGGGAUGGAAUUCCGCGUGUAGCAGUGAAAUGCGUAGAUAUCUGGAGGAACACCGGUGGCGAAGGCGGCAUCCUGGACCGGCAUUGACGCUGAGGCGCGAAAGCUAGGGGGAGCAAACGGG
rnacentral:rRNA from 1 species